UACAUUGGCGGCUUAAGCUAUGGCUUAGUUGAACCGGGUUCAAUUUUGAGCGUCGGUUUAACUUCAUUCGGGUUGUUCAAUGCCGAGUUCAGUUAAGCCGAGGUUCAUACAAAUUUUGGUAAGGUUGGCAACGUAAGGCAUGCGUAUUCAAAGCAAUUCCCGUCAAUUCUCGACAUAAAUUUUCCCGCCAUUUAUGUAUUAUUAUUUGGUUUUUGUCAAUAUAAUUCUUUUAUUACUGUUAUUAGUUUAAUCGGUAUUUUCUAUCGUUUAGUUUAUCAGUUUAAUCAAUUUCCUACGUUAAAUUUGUGAACAGACCAUUUGAAUAGCUUGUGAUGAAGGAUUGCGUAAGGGUGUUAUCAGGUUUUCUUGACUCCGUAACCACUAUCACCAAAGAAGAUACUAAUUCAAUCUUCACAUUCUCUUCUCAUAAAUAUUUAACUGUUUACAGCUAUGAUUUCAAAUUCACUCAAAAAUGUUAAUAUUUGCCUUAUUCUAGGGAAGUAGGUAGGUAAUUUAAAUAAUUUUAGAAGGUAAAUUAGUUUGUAAUUAUUAUUAAAUAAAGUGAUAAUAUGUACCUACAUAAGCAUGGUACAAAUAUAAUUAAUUUAAGAUUUAUUAAUAAAUUAUGUACAUCUAAUUUAAUAAAUUAACAAAAUCGUUUUCUACAUUUGCUUCAAAAUCAUUCACAAGUUGCAAAAAGGAGCCUGUUGCUUAAAACCAGUGAUAUGGGCCCACUUCACUGCACAAAACCUUAAUUUAAGGCAAUAAAAACCAUGUUCUUAGAAGAUACAGCUUGGUUCUUGAAAUGUCAAUAACAAAUUUGCCACUUGUUUUCGUUCUCGUUCUUACCUAUCUGUUCGAUUUUUUAUUCUAUGAGCAAUAUUAGUUUCAUACAAAUAGUGAACAGUGAACAGAUAUCCAAAAUCUUUGCAACAAUGCAUUAUCCUUCCAUUUUCAAAAUGAUUUUCUCUAGACCUACACUGUUUCUGUGUUCUCCUUCCUUCUAGAAUAUUUACCAUUUCCAGAAAAUCUUCAUUAUUAGUUAAAUUUUCAAUGAGGUUCAUUUUUAAGGUGUAAAUAUUAUGAUUUCCGUUGACAAUGACAAAAAUGUGAGGUUAAAAAUGCUUGAACCAGCGUUAAACCGCCGAACAUCGACCGCUCAGCUGAACCCGGGCUUAAACCGAGCUCAAGCUUAAACUUUGUAUGUACAACGCACUUCUUGCCCUGAACUCGGUAAUGGCGCUGAGCCGGAGUUGAACCUCGAUUGUACAACCGGGCCUAAGUGUCUUA